rnacentral:rRNA from 1 species
AGUGAACGCUGGCGGUAGGCCUAACACAUGCAAGUCGAACGGCAGCACAGUAAGAGCUUGCUCUGACGGGUGGCGAGUGGCGGACGGGUGAGGAAUACAUCGGAAUCUACUUUUUCGUGGGGGAUAACGUAGGGAAACUUACGCUAAUACCGCAGACGACCUACGGGUGAAAGCAGGGGAUCUUCGGACCUGGCCCGAUUGAAUGAGCCGAUGUCGGAUUAGCUAGUUGGCGGGGUAAAGGCCCACCAAGGCGACGAUCCGUAGCUGGUCUGAGAGGAUGAUCAGCCACACUGGAACUGAGACACGGUCCAGACUCCUACGGGAGGCAGCAGUGGGGAAUAUUGGACAAUGGGCGCAAGCCUGAUCCAGCCAUACCGCGUGGGUGAAGAAGGCCUUCGGGUUGUAAAGCCCUUUUGUUGGGAAAGAAAAGCAGCAGGUUAAUACCCAGCUGUUCUGACGGUACCCAAAGAAUAAGCACCGGCUAACUUCGUG